rnacentral:rRNA from 1 species
CCCGAAUGGGGAAACCCAGUGUGUUUCGACACACUAUCAUGUCAUGAAUACAUAGUGGCAUGAGGCGAACCGGGGGAACUGAAACAUCUAAGUACCCCGAGGAAAAGAAAUCAACCGAGAUUCCCCCAGUAGCGGCGAGCGAACGGGGAGGAGCCCAGAACCUGAAUCGGCUUGUGUGUUAGUGGAAGCGUCUGGAAAGUCGCGCAGCAAAGGGUGAUAGCCCCGUACACUAAAAUGCACAGGUCGUGAGUUCGAUGAGUAGGGCGGGACACGUGACAUCCUGUCUGAAUAUGGGGGGACCAUCCUCCAAGGCUAAAUACUCCUGACUGACCGAUAGUGAACCAGUACCGUGAGGGAAAGGCGAAAAGAACCCCGGCGAGGGGAGUGAAAUAGAACCUGAAACCGUGUACGUACAAGCAGUGGGAGCACCUUCGUGGUGUGACUGCGUACCUUUUGUAUAAUGGGUCAGCGACUUAUAUUUUGUAGCAAGGUUAACCGUAUAGGGGAGCCGUAGGGAAACCGAGUCUUAACUGGGCGAUUAGUUGCAAGGUAUAGACCCGAAACCCGGUGAUCUAGCCAUGGGCAGGUUGAAGGUUGGGUAACACUAACUGGAGGACCGAACCGACUAAUGUUGAAAAAUUAGCGGAUGACUUGUGGCUGGGGGUGAAAGGCCAAUCAAACCGGGAGAUAGCUGGUUCUCCCCGAAAGCUAUUUAGGUAGCGCCUCGUGAACUCAUCUUCGGGGGUAGAGCACUGUUUCGGCUAGGGGGCCAUCCCGGCUUACCAAACCGAUGCAAACUCCGAAUAC